rnacentral:lncRNA from 1 species
UCAUUCAGUCUGUAGCAUUUGAAUUGAAAGGUCACAACUAUUUCUUUUCGCCAGAGUCAGGUUGGCGUUUAUGGACUUUGAUAUUCAGACCCAAUCAUGAUGGCAAUAGAACACUAUCAAGAAUGUAAAGGUGUAGUUAGGCCCUGUUUGGUUCAGCAUUUGGAAUGCCCAUUUGGGCUCUAAAGUCCCUUGGUCAAAUGCAAAGCUGUUUAGUUCGUUUUUUUGCACGACUUUGGCGAGAUGCAAUUGCAUCUCCAAGUGGCUCUAAGGGCCUUUAGCCCAAUGCAGCUCUUGAGGUCCUUUGGCAAGUUGCAUCUUCGGAAUGCAACUUCUGAAUAAAAAUAAAUAUAAAAAUAUAUGUUUAUAUAUAUUUUUAUAUAUAUUUAUAUAAAAAUAUAAACAUAUCUAUUUUUUUUAUAUUUUAUGUUUAUAUAUAUUUUAUAUAGAUAUAAACAUAUCUAUUUUUUUCUCCUAUUUUUUUAUAUAAAUAUAUAUUUAUAUAAACAUAUCUAUUUUUUAUAUAUACUUUAUGUUUAAUAAAUAUAUUUUAUGUUUAUAUUUGUAUAUUUUUUAUAUAAAAAUAUGUUUAUAUAAAAAACAUAAACAUAUUUUUUAUUCAGACGGUUCGGCCGCCGAAUUCGGCGGUCCGGUAUAAAUAUAUAAAAAUAUAUUUUAUGUUUAUUUUUUAUAUAAAAAAUAUAAACAUAUCUAAUUUUUAUAUUUUAUGUUUAAUAAAUAUAUAUUUAUAAAAAUAUAUAUUUAUAUAUAUUUAUAAAAAUAUAUAUUUAUAUAUAUUUAUAAAAAGAUAUAUUUAUAUAUAUUUAUAUAUUUUAUAUAGAUAUAAACAUAUCCAUUUUUUAUAUAAAUAUAUUUUAUGUUUAAUAAAUAUAUAUUUAUAAAUAUAAACAUAUCUAUUUUUUUCUCCGGUUGCUUUUAUAUAAAUAUAUAUUUAUAUAAAAAUAUCUAUUUUUUAUAUAUUUUUUAUGUUUAUAUGUUUAUAUUUUUUAUAUAAAAAUAUGUUUAUAUAAAAAAUAUAAACAUAUUUUUGCUUUUUUAAUUUAAUAAAAGUUAAUUACAAAUGUAAAUUUUACCAAACAGUAUUUUGGUCAAAGUUGUUUCUCAAUGCAAAUUUUACCAAACGACAUUUGCAUUUCGGAAAACUCCCUUUACCCAAAGGUAUUUGCAUUUCUGCAAAUGCAUUCCCCAAAAGCCGAACCAAACGGGCCCUUAGUCAUACUACGAUAUCUCUUUGCUCAAAACAAGUACGGCAUACAAAAUCUCCAGCAUAACAUUCCUCACAUUUCCUUUCCAAGAAAUUGAUAUGUAGUGCCUCCCCAAGAAAGCUCCGAAGCUAAAAGAAAUCCCAAUACAAGUACAAUAUGGAAUGCAAGGAAUGAGCAUACCGGAAAGAACCCACAGCUCCAAGCAUCAACCUUCGCGAGGAUCCAUGUCAAAAAAAAAAAAAAAAAAAUCAACCCACCAUUAAUACUUGGACAAGCAGGAAAAAUUAGGGGGGAAAUGUUGAAAUAAUUAACUC